CCAAUUAUGGACUGAAACAUCUACGAACCUUCAAAAUUAACAGACACCGGAGGCAUUAACCAUGAAAUGGGACACCUGGCUUCAUCCGUGACCUUGAACACCCCCUUCCUGUGCACUAGAAUAGAUAGCUAGACUAAUCUUAAGCAUGAAAACCAACCACCUUGCAUUACAGGACAUGCCUUUGUAGAUUUUCAAAAGAAAAAAAAUGUGUACACAAAGAACAAGCCAAAGAUCACCAUGUCAUCAAAUGUGUCUACACUGAAGACAUCAUUUUUAAGAGCUAACCAUGUUAUCAAAGCUACGAAGUCCUUUACUGAUGAUGAAGACAUUUGUUGUGAACUUUUAGGACAAGUUGUAUUUCAAAAGGUGACAGACACAUGUUCCUCUUUCAGCACAAUAACUGGACAAACUGAUGAAUAGCAGAGGAUACUGAGGCACAAUUGUUAGGAUUAAUAAGUUACUGUGGUAUGCAAUCCACAGUUGAGUCUACUGAUGUAGCAACAAUACUUGUUUUUGUGUAAUAUAUUUUUCAGGAGGGUGUGCAUGGGAUAUAUUACAUGCACUUUUGUUGCCAACCACUACCACAGCUGCAGAAUUAUUCAAGACUUUGAAUGAUUACAUAUAGGAAACAACUGAUCAUUUUGUAUUGGUAUAUGCACUGACCCAGCAGCUGUCAUGACCGGACACCUUCCUGGUUUCAUUACUUGGAUCAGAGGUCACUUCUGAAUAUGAGUCUACACACUGUGUCAUCCAUAGAGAGACGCUGGCUCACUGAAAAAUGUCUCUUGAACUUAGUUUUACAAGAUAUGAUCAAAAUUAGCUUCAUUAAAGUAAGUGCGCUUAACUCAUAUCUGUUCACACAGGUUUGUGUGGCAGUAGACACAGAGCACAUGUCUUUUAUAUACAGAAGUGAGAAGAUAUUCUAAAGGUUAAGCACUGACCAGAGAGGUUUUCUUUUUAGUUUUAGUUUUUUAUUAGUACAUAUUUUAGUACAUAAUAAUUACACUUAUUGUGGGGUGUUGGUACAUGUACAUAAUAUAUCUCCAGAGUUUUUGAGUUAUAAGAUCUGCUCUAAAGAUUUCUUUUAGAAAAAACAGUGGCAGCACAUUUCAUGGUCAGGAUGGAUUGCAAAUCUUGUUUACUUGUAUGACAUAGUCAACCUGCUCAAUAUUCAUCCUGCUUAGUGAACUCAAUGUGUCACUUCAGGGGAGAACAACAACUGUUUUUAAGACAGCAGAAGAAAAUGGCUCACUUCAAAGCCAAAUAAAAUUAUAGGAGUGACAAGUGAACUUUUGGAACUUUUUAUAUGUUUCAAACAUUUGCAGAGAUUUUUAAAGGAAAUGAGCAAGGUCUGCCCUUUGCCUAGCUAGUGCAUGAUCACCUAUCUCAGCUUUCAAAAGAGUUUUGAGAAUUACUUCCCAAACACAAAUGACCCCUGAAAUGGGAAGGAAUGAAUAUGCAACCCAUUUGUGAAUAAACCAGGUGAAUCAACUUUGUACUAGAAGAUGAUCAACUGCUCGAGAUCACAAAUGACUGUGGCCCUCCAAAUCUCCAUACAUGCUGGACUGAAAUUAAGGCAGCCCUGAAAAGCCUGCUUUCACUGCCAACAUCCUAUCUUUGUGAAGCAGUGUUUUCUGCAGUUUAGCAACCAAAAUGAGAUCACGGAGUAAACUGGACAAAACUAUGUCAAUGAUGGGACCAUGUAUUUGCAGGAAAACAAGCUCAGCUCAGGGCUCCCACUGAUUCUGCAUUAUGGUGAGUUGUUUCAUUAUGUACGGCAAUGUCAUAAUAUAAAGUGCACAAUAACUGUAAUGUGCUUGAAUCAUUCUAAACCAUCCCCUCUUACCUGAUGCAUGGAAAACUUGUCUUCCAUGAAACCUAUUUCUAAUGCCAAAACGUUGGAGAACCACUGAUUUAGAGGUCAAACUCACUCUUACAACAACUUGCUCUUGUGAGAGCUCAGGGGUCCCAUGAAAGCUCCCUUAAGGAAUCCCUUCAUGGGAAAUUUCCCCAGUGACCUAAGAACUUACCCACCUCUUAAAGUUUUUACCACCUUCCAGCCCUACACACUAGGUAGGGACCAAGUAUCCAACACAUGAACCCUUAGUGGGAUACGUUCAAACCAUAUCUAAACCAUAACACCUAGUAUUAACUUUACAAAUCUGAAGGAAGUUCUGAAAAAACAUCAUAUGGAUGACUCCACCAUGAGGUACCACAGCAAUGGAAUCAGCCAACCUUGGCCAAAACUGUCUGAAACCAUGAGCCAAAAUUAACAUUUCCUCGUUUGAAUCAUUUUUUCUCAGAUAUUUGGUCACAGCAAUGAAAGCUAACAAUUAUAUCUUUAUGUUCCUAUUCCUUCAGCUAACAAUACCUUAAGCAUUGUAAGUGCUCACUAAAUAUAAUUAAGCUAUAAAUAAGCUCUUUAAUUUUUCUUCUCCUUUGUAGCUCAAAAGGAUCAAAGCUAUGAAUGCCUAUGAUGAGCUAUGAUAAAACCUGUGUCUGAGACAUGUUACUAAUGACAGUUACGACUGGGAAAUAGUAAUGUUGAUGAGAAUGAGAAUUUAUAAAUGAAUCUCCAGAAUUUAUCAGGUUAAGAAAACUAAAAGCUGCUCCUUACAUGAAGUUGUCUAAGCUGCCCAAGCUACUAAAUCCCUUCAAGGUUUUCAGUCUCUGCCUUAAGUGUUUAGAGCACAUUCUUGCCUUAACCUUCACUUCAGCGCCCUCCAUGGUAACAGUGGAAUGUUUGCUAUUUUAGGAAAUAUGCCUCACUACACGCAAUGUUAUUUACAUUAUAUUCCAAAUAAGACAUAAUGCAACUGAGUGUCUGCUGAUUUGUGAGUGGGAGGGUUCUGUUUGACUAAUGUUUACCUCCCUAGUUCUGUUGUCCUGUCAAUUUUAAGCCAACUACAGUAAAAUUACAUGUUAAUAAAAUUUGCUUAUCUUAUACUGGAGAGAAAAUACAG